UUAUUUGGGUUUAGGUUCUAUACUUGGGUUUAGGGUUUAGUGAUUAGGAUUUAGGGUUUAGUAUUUGGAAGGUGCGGGUUGAGGUUUGGGUUUAGUGAUAGCAGUUUAGGGUUUAGUAUUCAAAAGUUGGGUCUGGAUUUAGCAUUUAGGAGUUGUGUGUUGAAUUAGAGACUUAGAGUCCUAUACUAUUUCGAUGAUAUGAAACACAUUUUGUAUUUGAGUUUAGGGUUUGUAUUUAGAUUUCGGAUUUAGUGUUUAGGGUUUAGUAUUUAGAGGCUUGGAGUAGGUGGGGUUGGGAUAAAAUUUAUUAUUUAGGGGUUUGGAUAGAGUUGAUCUCUUAUACUAUUUUGUUAUACUAAAUAGAACUUGUGUUUAGUAAGUAAUGAAAUAUACCAUUUAUUGCAAAGGUGUUUUAAUUUUAUUCACGCUUUACUGUGCAUGGUUAACUGCACCGUCAUAAAUUGCACUAUCAGAAAUUGCACGCUUUAGGGAUCUAGGUUUAUAGUAAAGUUUAGUUGCACUAUCAUAAAUUGCAUACUAUAAUAAAUAAGUAUGUGGUAAAUAAAUGUUUGGUGUGGUUUCCACUACGUGAUGGAAUUAUAAUAAUUGUGUUUAAUUUCUAGCCAUAACUAUAAUUGAUGAUGUCAUCCACACUCUUCUUCUUUCACCGAGUACCUGUCAAAAGAGAAGGUAUAACCGAUUCAAUCAUAGGCAAAAUGUUACUAGGUUAAUAAUGUCAAAAUCAAUGCUAUUGGCUUAAUUUCUAUUGCAAACUUGGUUAUUUGCAAAUUCACCCAAAAUAAAAUUCAAAAUAAUUCAACUGUUAACAAUACUGUUCACUUUUUCAAGAAUGUGUUCAGUGGAAAAAUAAGGUUUUUGUGUCAUAAUUUAUUUAAUGUCUAAUCCGAUCAAUCCAUGAUAUAUUAAUUAUAGUUUAGUUACACAAUUUUUAAUAAAAAAUGAUCUGGUCCAUCAGAAAAAAUUAUAUAAUAACAACAAAAAAUAUUGUAUAUAUAUAAAUAAAAUGAUCAAAUAUAUAAAAAAAAAUUGUCUAUAAUAUAUACAAAUAAACUCACCAUGCGCUUAUCCCAGUUUUAUAUCAUUUGUGCCUUUAAUAUGAAAGUACACUGUUGAAAAACAACGUCGUAAUAUGAAGUAUCAAAACAUGACUUCCUUGAAUUGACCGGAGAAGAUGAACAGUUUUUGUAACAUUGUGUUCUAUUCUAUUUUAUGCGUAUGGAAUAGAAAUGUAAAACAAUAUGUAUUAUGAAUGUUUUAUUCAUGUUAUGUAAUGUGAAAUAGUCUGUUACUAUACUUAUUUAUCAUGUAUCGUUCCACUUGAUGAUUAAUAAAGAAUGUGUUAUUUUCUUCACCAAUAUGUACUAUAUACUAUGUAUUUUAUUCCAUUCUAUUUGGGUUUAGGGUUUAGUGAUUAAGAUUUAAGGUUUAGUAUUUGGAAGUUAGGGGUUGAGGUUUGGGUUUAGUGAUAGCAGUUUAGGGUUUAGUAUUCAAAAGUUAGAUAUGGAAUUAGCAUUUAUGAGUUGUGUGUUGGGUUAGAGCCUAUACUUUUCAAAAAUUAGGUUUGGAUUUAGUUUAAUAUUACAAAAUAUUAUAUACUAUUUUCAGAUUUUGGUAAUUAGAUUUAGGGAUUAUAAUUAUGUUUUAUAUUUGAGUUUAGUAUUUUAAAGUUUGUUUUGGGUUUAGUAUUUAAGAGUUGUAAUAUGUAUUAUGAAUGUGCUAUUCAUGUUAUGUAAUGCAAAAUAGUAUGUUACUAUACAUUUUUAUCAUGUAUCAUUCCAUUUGACGAUUAAUAAAGAAUGUAUUAUUUUAUUCACCAGUAUGUACUAUACUAUAUAUUUUGUUCUAUUUUAUUUGGGUUUAGGGUUUAUACUUGGAUUUAGGGUUUAGUGAUUAGGAUUUAGGGUUUAGUACGUAGAAAGUGGGGUUGAAGUUUGGGUUUAGUGACCCUAUCAUGUAUUGUUCCAUUUGAUGAUUAAUAAAAAAGUGUUUUAUUUUGUUCACCAAUAUGUACUAUACUAUGUAUUUUGUUUUAUUUUAUUUGGGUUUAGGUUCUAUACUUGGGUUUAGGGUUUAGUGAUUAGGAUUUAGGGUUUAGUAUUUGGAAGGUGCGGGUUGAGGUUUGGGUUUAGUGAUAGCAGUUUAGGGUUUAGUAUUCAAAAGUUGGGUCUGGAUUUAGCAUUUAGGAGUUGUGUGUUGAAUUAGAGACUUAGAGUCCUAUACUAUUUCGAUGAUAUGAAACACAUUUUGUAUUUGAGUUUAGGGUUUGUAUUUAGAUUUCGGAUUUAGUGUUUAGGGUUUAGUAUUUAGAGGCUUGGAGUAGGUGGGGUUGGGAUAAAAUUUAUUAUUUAGGGGUUUGGAUAGAGUUGAUCUCUUAUACUAUUUUGUUAUACU
rnacentral:lncRNA from 1 species